UACAGAGGGGGCAAGCGUUGUUCGGAAUUACUGGGCGUAAAGGGCGCGUAGGCGGCCUUCUAAGUCGAACGUGAAAUCCCCGGGCUCAACCCGGGAACUGCGUCCGAUACUGGAAGGCUUGAAUCCGGGAGAGGGAUGCGGAAUUCCAGGUGUAGCGGUGAAAUGCGUAGAUAUCAGGAGGAACACCGGUGGCGAAGGCGGGUCUCUGGGCCGAAACUGACGCUGAGGAGCGAAAGCGUGGGGAGCAAACAGG
rnacentral:rRNA from 1 species